GAUGAACGCUGGCGGCGUGCCUAAUACAUGCAAGUCGAGCGAACAGAUGAGGAGCUUGCUCCUCUGACGUUAGCGGCGGACGGGUGAGUAACACGUGGAUAACCUACCUAUAAGACUGGGAUAACUUCGGGAAACCGGAGCUAAUACCGGAUAAUAUAUUGAACCGCAUGGUUCAAUAGUGAAAGACGGUUUUGCUGUCACUUAUAGAUGGAUCCGCGCCGCAUUAGCUAGUUGGUAAGGUAACGGCUUACCAAGGCAACGAUGCGUAGCCGACCUGAGAGAGUGAUCGGCCACACUGGACCUGGAACACGGUCCAGACUCCUACGGGAGGCAGCAGUAGGGAAUCUUCCGCAAUGGGCGAAAGCCUGACGGAGCAACGCCGCGUGAGUGAUGAAGGUCUUCGGAUCGUAAAACUCUGUUAUUAGGGAAGAACAAAUGUGUAAGUAACUAUGCACGUCUUGACGGUACCUAGUCAGAAAGCCACGGCUAACUACGUG
rnacentral:rRNA from 1 species